GACGAACACUGGCGGCGUGCUUAACACAUGCAAGUCGAACGGAAAGGCCCUGCUUUUGUGGGGUGCUCGAGUGGCGAACGGGUGAGUAACACGUGAGUAACCUGCCCUUGACUUUGGGAUAACUUCAGGAAACUGGGGCUAAUACCGGAUAGGAGCUCCUGCUGCAUGGUGGGGGUUGGAAAGUUUCGGCGGUUGGGAUGGACUCGCGGCUUAUCAGCUUGUUGGUGGGGUAGUGGCUUACCAAGGCAUUGCCGGGUAGCCGGCCUGGGAGGGUGGACGGGGACAUUGGGACUGCGGGAGGGAGCAGACGGGUACGGGAGGCAGCAGGGGGGAAUAUGACACAGUGGGCGGGAGCGUGAUGAAGCGACGCCGGGUGCGGGAUGACGGCUUUUGGGGUAUGAACCGCUUUCGCCUGUGACGAAGCGUGAGUGACGGUAAUGGAUAAAGAAGCACCGGCUAACUACGUG
rnacentral:rRNA from 1 species